rnacentral:lncRNA from 1 species
GACAUGUCCCCUACUGUAGGUACAGUUGCUCCCCCAAAGUGGCACCCUCUUGGAGUACACUGGGAAUCACUAGCUGGUUAAUGAGGAGCCAGUGAAGGAUUAGAAACUGAUGGAGUCUUAGUACCUAGGUCUAAGCAUCUCCUGUCUGAGCCUCCUGAAAGCUGAGUCCAAAAAUCUUUGGGAAUUCUCUGAGAGCAUCCUGCCAGUCAUUCCUGCAAAAUUCUCCACAAAGCAGGGGCUAUGGCCCAAGUGGCUUUACAGAAAGGGUCAGGUUUCUCAAACAUGAAACUCCUCCAUAUAUCCCCCAGUUUCUGUGAUGUUUUUAUUUUCCUCUUGGCAUGCAAGGCCCUGUGCCAGCUAACUUAAUUUCAUGGAAAAUGUAGAAUUAAAAGUAGCAAAUUGUGGGCUGUGGCUGUGGUUCAGUGGUAGAGCGCUUGCCUAGCACAUAUGAGGCACUGGGUUUGAUUCUCAGCAGUGCAUAUAAAUAAAUAAAAUAAAGGUCCAUUGACAACUAAAAAAUUUUAAAAAGUAGCAAACUGCUAAUUGAUGUGAAGCACACCUGCAUAUUAGCCCCUUCCCCCACCUCCCACCUUCCUACCUAAAAUGGAAAAUGCUUUAUGCAAAGAAUCCU